UACGGGGGGGGACUAACGUUAUUCAUCAUAACUGGGCGUAAAGGGUACGUAGGUGGCUUUUUAAGUCUUAAUCAAAGAAUCUAAGCAUAACUUAGAAAUUGAUUUUGAUACUGCUAAGCUCGAGGUCAUUAGAGGUUAGUUAUAUUCUUGAAGUAAAAGUAAAAUCUUUAGAUAUCAAAGGGGAUAACCAAGUGGUUAAUGCGAGCUUUCUCGAAUUGAUGACUGACACUAAGGUACGAAGGCAUGGGUAUCAAACGGG
rnacentral:rRNA from 1 species